UACGUAGGGUGCAAGCGUUGUCCGGAAUUAUUGGGCGUAAAGAGCUCGUAGGCGGCCUGUCGCGUCGGAUGUGAAAGCCCGGGGCUUAACCCCCGGGUCUGCAUUCGAUACGGGCAGACUAGAGUUCGGUAGGGGAGACGUGGAAUUCCUGGUGUAGCGGUGAAAUGCGCAGAUAUCAGGAGGAACACCGGUGGCGAAGGCGGGUCUCUGGGCCGAAACUGACGCUGAGGAGCGAAAGCGUGGGGAGCAAACAGG
rnacentral:rRNA from 1 species